rnacentral:tRNA from 1 species
GGGAGUAGCUCAGUUGGUAGAGCGGCGGUCUCCAAAACCGUAGGUCGCAGGUUCGAAUCCUGUCUCCC